rnacentral:lncRNA from 1 species
UUAUAAAGAGGGUUUUGGACUAGAUGCAACUAGGCCGAUAGUGGGUAUAUAUAUAUGUUGAAGAUAUAUAUAUUUAAAGUAUACUUUCCGAAUGAUUUAGAAAGAUUUAAGUAUACUUGAUGUUUUACUCCAAUACUAAAGAUGAGUAUAUAGUUGGAGUAAUAAAAGUCUUAUAAGCUUUAGUCUCGCUUAAGACUUGUAUAAUACUUGUCUUUUUGACUAAGUAUAUAUUACUUCGAAUAUACGUCUAUUUUCGAAGUACGGAUUUAAGAGAGUCUUUUGAUUUAGCUCUUUGGCUAUGG